rnacentral:tRNA from 1 species
GCCGAAAUAGCUCAGUCGGGGAGCAUUAGGCUAUAGGUCGAAAGGUCCCUGGUUCGAUCCCGGGAUUCCUCA